GGCGUGGUGGGUGAAGGUGGGGGUUAGAUUUCUUACAGGCGUUAGAUGAAAAAUAAAAAAAAAAGUAGAGCUCUAACGCCAUCUAACGGACAAUAAAGUCUGAAUCGCUAAAAAAAAUGCCGUUUGCUAAUCCUUUGUUGUCGUGGCUGUAUGGUGCCAUUACAUCCUUGUCCGCUAAGUGUCGCUAGCAACUCUGUCAGCUCGUGACAUCACGGUUACGCUCUGCUGUGAUUGGUUGUUAUAGGGUUGUCAGCGGCACCAGAGUUCGUGCAAACCGUGUUGUAAACAGUAAGGUUAGCCUCGUUUCAUUUCACGUGAUGUUGCGGCAGACUUUGGAAGCGUUGUAAAGCUGCGUACGUAAAGAGAGCGGUAUGUCAGGAAGACACAGGUCGCUGCCUUCAUGGAUGGCAAAAAAAGAGGAGAAAAGCCAAGAAAAGAAGCCACUGAAGAGAAAGCGGAAAGCUGCCAGGUCUGCUUUCUACUGUAUGAACGAGCAAGAGCUGGUAGAAGCAGCUGUUUCCUAUUUCACAAACGGCUCAUGUGAGGACCUGACACUCGUGACUCGCCAGCAGGGUAAACAAAAAGCAGUAGACACAGUUAAGAAGAUGGGGAAAUCCACAAAUUCACAGCUGACAGCAAAUCCAGUUGCUGCAGAGGAGUCCCCAUCAGACUGCACUGAAGAUCUGGACAUGACGUAUGUUUCAGAAACAGACUUGGACAUUACAGAGGUGGAAACAUUACUUUACACCAGCAGGCCGCAGCAACAAACACCUGAGGGUCAGCGUUCAGGAACAGUUGAGAAUGUGGAGGCUGGGAAGACGAAUGAACCACCGCAGACAGCAGCAGAGGACAGCGAUGCCUUACGCCUUGUACGGGAAAUUUUUUUCAGCUGAUUAACUUAUUUGACACUAAAAAGUUUUUGCAUUAAACUGAAAAGUGUCAUUUGGGGGAAUGCUUCCUAAAUUACGAAUUCAGGUGAGAGUCCAGUCAGUACUUGAGGACACAUAGCUCACAGCUCAUCCAUAAAGAAAAAGUUUGGAGAACGGAUCCAUUAAUUGAUGUCUCAGAGAGGUACAUCCCAGCAGCGCUUCACAGGACUACAUCCGGAGACGGAGACAAGUAAUUAAUUCACCAAAGCUUCUGCACUGAAAUCAAAUUUCAGCGCUUCAGUCUAUGUUUCAGUGGCAUCAUCUAGCACCUCGUGUGAGGGGAACUACUUAUCUUACAGUGUGACAGUUACUUAAGUGUUGUGUUUGUUUUUUUGUCACUUGGGUCCAAACUCUAAUUCAACAUAAAAUUGACAACAUGGCAUUUUUUUUAGGUUUACUGAAGGUUUUAAUGAGGAAAAAAAAACACAACGGUUUUUGUUUUCACAUGCAUGACACUGUAUAUGAAACUGACAGCAGUUGUGGGUUUUUCACCACAAAGGUUUGGUGUUAGAAAUGUUUCCACCAGAAGACCUAACAAGUUCCUGCUAGUACCCUGAGCAUGGUACUGUUGCAGUACAAGUGCCCUUGCUCUGUGGGGAGAAACUUGAAAAAAGCCUUGCUUUUGCAUUAAACUGGGUGUAAUUAAAGCAUACUGUUAUUCAUGUGAAGUAACUAGAAAUUGUAGUUACAGAAAUCACAUUACUGUUGCUCCUUGAAUAUAUGAGGUAGCAGAUAUAAGAACACACUUUGAAAAAUAAAUAUAUUCUUUAUUCCUUAUAGCUUAUAUAGAAAUAACUAUCAGCACAAUUAGGGUACCACUCACGCAUCCACCAGCUGCACAUUUCAGACUCAACAGAUUUUUUGUUGUGUUAUACAUUAUGUGUCUUGGCUUUCAUAAACCACUUGAUAAAGUGAUACAAAGUGAUAUUACAGCACCAAAAGACACGUUAAACAUGUUGAGGGAUACAGCUUAUCAUUAAAUACAUCAUGACAGCAAUUAACAUAUUCUCCAAAGCAGAUUCGUGUGUAAUUGCAUUAAUAUAGCACUUUUCUACUUUUACGGACCACUCAAAGGUCUUUGUGAUAUGAUCAUAACAUUAAUCGCUUUUUUAAACUGCACAGUCUGUGGCUCAUGUUUGCAUUUAAGCAGGGAUGAGCUUAAGCAUUUCGCUGCGUUCCCAGUGUGAUCUCAGUCGCUUACCUGACACAUGGGUCAGUGCAGAUGUGAUAGCCAGCUCCAUCACCACACCCAAAUAGAUAUAGAACCAAAUGGUUAUGUUUUGCCAGCUCACAUAUGACUGAUAGACAAACAAAAAACUACAAAGGCCAGCCAGGCUGAGAAAGGCUGCUCCAACCUGGAAAGUUGUGCUGCAAAAGAUAGCAGGUUCGUCUUUGUCAGAGAUGACUGAAUGCAUGCCCAUCAGGGCAAACGCCACAAUAAUCACUGGAACAUACACGGCUAGGUAAACCGCUACUCUGACAGAGUUAGAAUGUGGCUUAGAUAAAGUCUCAGCUUCAGCUCCUUGGGAUUGCGAUAGCUCGUACAGGUGACUCUUAUGCACAUUAUCACAGGACCAUUCACCAGUUUGUUGGAUCUGACAGAAUCUGUAGGGGCUGAUGAGGACUUUAUCGGAGCGAAUGAACACACCAUCAAAAGGCACCAAGGAGAUCAUCAUUUGAACCAUGACAAGCAGGAGAAGCAGAAAGAUCCCACGAACGUGACACACGGGACUCCUCACAGCACAUUGGACUCUCUGCUCAGGCCACAUCCUCACUAAUCUGUAGAUUAAAUAAAGAGUCAUGCGAUGAAUCAAAACAAACAUUCUGCAAACUAAGCACGAGAAUGAUAUAUAUCAGAGCAGAAAAGAGAAGCUCAAAGUACCACAGAUCCUAAAGACGUUUGACUGUCUUGCAGCAUAAGAACACACUGAUGUUACAGUACAUGUGUCAGUGGUUUUGUGUUCAGCCUCAGUCAGCCGAUCAGCACGUUUACUUCCCCAAUAUGAAGGCCUUAUGUCAUAUAACUGUAUUCAUGUUCCUGUCAUCAUGACUAUACUGAACAACUAAUGCAUAAGCUUUCUAAAAGGAAAUCUACAACUGCCCAGGGCUUUAAUAACACACGAUUUAGUGGUUUCCAUUUAAAACUUUGACAGUGAACAUGCCUACAGUUUAAUGGCAGAAUGUCUAGUUUGACUGAGUAAGGCAGAUCCUUUAAUUAUUAUUAUUAUUAUUAUCGUUUUUGUUGUUGUUUACUUACAUUUAGUAACCGAGAAAGGGCAACGAAGCCAAUCUGGUUCAGGAAGUUCAGUGGUUGCGCGCUGGAGCGCGCACCGUGGACGCGGAGAAUGUGCGCCUCAGCAGUCUGUGCAGGGCUCAGCUCCUCUCUGCUGUGCGCACUUCGAGCGGUUUAACAAGCAGUCUCCUCCACGAGCGGGAUCAUCAGCAAAUUUAUAUAUUUAUCUAGGCCUGCUGCAACGCCAAAAGUACAAAGGCUCAUUAUGGGAAACAGGCUCAGCAGAAGGCGAGAAACCCCAGCCAGCACCCAUGAAACUGUGGCUGCUGAAGAGAACACCACAAAGGAGCCAGGAAACGACUCUGCAGUAACAGAGACUCACGAAGCCACCAAAAUGGAGGAUCUAGAUGUGGUGGUGGGAGAGCCAGUGACACCAGUGGCGUGUUUACCCAAUGAAGAAUGUGUUGCGGAGUUUAAAGAAGCAGAGGCUUCCAGUGCCUCAGCCCUGAAAAAUGAUACAGAACCAGCACCUGUGGUAAAGGAAGCCCCAGUCCAACCUGAACCUCAGGUCUCAGCCAGCACACCUUCACCUUCAGAACCAGCUGCUGAAGCUGAGCUUGCUCCUGACUCCGAACCAGACAUUGAGAUAGUCCAGCCCAUCUCAGAGCCAGCACCAGCCUCAGUGGAGCAUCUGGAGAACCAGGCGGAUCAACUAACACAAGAGUCUCUCCAUGAACUGGUUCUUUCUUCGCCCCCUUUGACCGACUCUGGUCCCCCUGAUUUCGUGCCCUCCCAAGAUCCCAGCCCUGUCCCAGUCAAUCCAGACGAGCCAUCAGACCUCCCAGCAGGUGAGAAACGCCAAGAUGGUGAUGAGGCUGCUGACAAUUCCACGCUUGAGCCAGAGAAGCCAACAGAAGCACAUCUGGAAAAGCCGAUGGAGGUGGAGGCUGAAGAGAGUUUGGAGAAGCUUGGAAGUGAUGUCAACGAGGAAAGCGUUAGUGAAAUCCCAAAGAACUCGGAGCUGAGAGGAAAUGACCUUGUCAGUGACCUCAUUCCAAGAGAUGUCAAUGUCCCUGAUGACACUCCCAUCACAGACAUGAGCACAUCUACUGAGCUGAUGUAAAUCAAUCAGAGGAUUCAUGAAGGAAGUGAAACCCUCUAAAUCUAAAUUGUGAAUGGAUCGAAAAAUAGUGGUUUGUCUCACCCUAAGUGCCCACAUUAAUGCUAAUAUAGCCUUUUUUUUUAUUUUAAAUGAACCAAAGGUGCCGAAAAGCAGUGUGUGUGUACAUGUGUGUGUUGUGAUGGAAAGAAGAGUGACCUAGAAUACUUCAUUAUUAGACAGAGAUCUUCAUCUAUGAAGAUCUAGACAGAAAUUAAAUGUGUCUUGUAUAUAUUUGAGCAGUUUUUUUGUUUUAAAAAAAUUUGCAACAAAAAGAAAAAUGAAAAGAAGGUUAAUGAAAGAAAUGUAAAGGACAAAGAAUGCAACUUCAGCUGGAAACGGCAUAUGCAUUCCACAACUGGUUACAAGUAUCUACUACACAUUUAUGAAUUAACAUAGUAAUACUUGGCAUUUUCAAUAAUCCACUAAUCAGAAUGAUUGUCAUCUUAUGCAAUUUUAAAUAAAAUAAAUGAAUUUUCAAUUUCAAGUAGUUGCCUUUGAAAAUAAACUGGCAUUUACACAUAACAAUCUUGCUCCCUGCUUUUCAAAAGUAUAUUUUAUAGUAUCUGGUCACACUGAAGAUUCUGGGAAUGGAUUUUUGUGGGGGAGGAAAAAUAGCAGAUACUCGGGGCAUGUUUGACAAACUACUACAUGUACGGGGCACUCUGCAAAUGGCAAUAGAAAUCUAUGUAGCAAAUCCCAGUUCAUUUAAGAGGGACUGGAGCUUCUCACUGUCUCGUGGGAGAGAGGACAUCAGAGGAGGGAGGAGAAAGGGGGGAGACUAAGCCACAUUCUUUCCAGAGGAAGGAGAUUUUCAUGGGGCCUGGGUCAAAAGUCUUCAGUGUGACUGCAUUUCAGUCCAUGAGAAAUCUGUUCCUCACAUGCCUCCCCUUGCUUACACUACAUUGCUAUCCCAAAAUCUUGUCUGAGUAGUCAGGACUGGUAUGAGAGGCCACUCCUAAAUGCCUUAAAACUUUAAUCUACAGUCAUGUGGAAAGAAAGCACACACUUUUGCAAUACUGUGGUUUAAUUUAUCAGGUCAUAAAAAAUAACCUAAAACUGGGUAACCACAACCUCAGAUAUUACAUCAUAACAAGAUUUAACCACAGUGUAGAAGCAGUGUGUGAAAAGCAGCCGACAGGUGCUGCUAACCAAAUACAUUUGAUUAAUUGAUAAUUAGCAAAUGUUUGCACCUCUAUAAAAGCAGAGAUUUUAGCAGAGUGCUGGUUUGGAGCAUUGCCCAUUUUUUCAUGAGUGGAAAACAUUUAAGACGGUUUCCAAUCUUCCCAGGUGUGGAUAUCUCCACGUGCACGGUGGUGGAGGGGUGAAUAUUUGGGCUCAGUUUGCAGCUACAGGAUCUGGACACAUUGCAGUCAUUAAGUCGACAGUGAACUCCUCUGUACAUCAGUCUAGAGUCUCACGUGAGGCCAUGUAUUAGUCUUUUAUAUCCUCGACAAUAAUGUGAAAGACUGAUAGUCAUACAGAAAAUGAUUACUUCACGUUAUUGUUAUUAAAGGUGGUUUUACAAGCUACAUGGGUGUAGUUAGUUUUUCACAUACCACUUCUGCAGUUUAGCUUUUUGUUAAAUAAAUAUAGUGUAAUAUGUUGUGUUGUUUUUCAUUUUAGGUUGUUGUAUUUUUUUUGAGUAAUUUUAGAACAUGGUAAGGACCAGAUGAUUUUUUAAAAAUAUCCUGAUAUGCAAAAGCUUAGAAUUGAAAGAGGGUUUACUUGCAAAUGUAAAUAAGCAAUAAUUUGCUCAUUUACUUUGCCAAUUCAACAGAAAUACAAAUCAAUGAAGGGAAAAGCUUAAUGCCAGGGUAUACACUAUCACCAGUAAAAAUUUCCCUUUCACCCUUCCAUUAUUAUAUGAGGUCUCAAACUAUUACAGCCUACGCCCCAGGGCAUGGAAAAUGGGGAAGACCCAUGAUUUUAGCAACACACUGAUGAGUCCCCACAGAAUGGGAGAGGUACUCUAGACAAUGAUCUCAGUCAAGCUAAGCUUUAAAGGACACAUUUUGCAGACUGAGCUGCUUCUUGAGGCACACUGGGAAAGAUAAGCAGUUUGAUUUGCACUGUGAUUCCUGUCAUACCAGAGGCUUUCAGCUCAAUAAACAAAAGUGCUUGACCUGAGUCC
ensembl:lncRNA